AAAAUUUGUUGUCUAUUUGAAAUGAUCUGAAAUGCGUUCUGGGUUGUCUGUUUGAUUUAUAUGAGCCUAUGGCUAGUAUGCUUGUGAUACAGUAUUUCUAACAUUUAGGAGGUCAAACAAGACCAUGGGUUUGUGUCUCUUCCACCAAAUUCAGGGCUUUUUGGUGCACUUCAACUUUAAGCUUGUCUAACUGCAUUUUUUGAAUUGUGUUGCACUGGAAUAACUGGUAUUGACGGGGUACUGUAUUACUUUUUCAUUCUGAAACUGGCACAGUAACGGUAUUCUUAACUAUUUAGGCAUUAGGUAGCACAUGUUAAGAACUAUAAUUGCAAUUAUUAAGAGGAAGCUCCCUUUUAUACAGUUAUGAAAGCUCGCAUGGAGCUAUGUAUGAAUUACACUUGGAGUAAAUUUAAUUAAACCUCUGCCUGGAGCCAAUGGGUUUUCAUCUCAUCUGAGCUCACAAGCUAAGCAGAAUCAGGCUUGCUUAUUACAAGGUGCUGCAGGAAAUCAUUUUGGUAAGUCAGUAGGAAGCAGACUUCCCUUUGAGUCAGACUAGACCAGUGCUGUCAACAAGGUCUUGGAGGCAAAAGUGCCUUUGAAGAUCUAGAAAAUUGGUCAUAAAGAGCCACUGGCAUUUUUACAAAUGUUGAGGUGUUAAACCUUGUGUCCUGGCCAAGUUCCAAUGUUUUUAACAAUAUUCUAGCUACUAAUAUUCCCACUACUUAUGGGCUAAGGUUUUCAAAAACAGGAGCUUAAGAAUCUAACUGUAAGUCCAUAUUUAGGUUCCUCAGUACGUCUGGCCUGACCCUCUAAAGUGGUGUGCAUCCACUAGCUCCUAUUGAAGUAAUUGAAGCUGUGGGUGCUUCGAACUUACAAAAACUCUGACCAAACUCUCUCUGUGUAUGCGCAAUGUGCCCAGCUAUUUGAUGGUGGAGAACCGGUAGCCAGGUGGAGAACCGGUAGCCUGCCGUCAAAAUAAGUCAGUGGGCACUCGUCAAGAAUAUGCGAUAUAGUCUGAAGUUGACGAGGCUGCAUCGCAGGUCAUUAUUUAAAAAAAAACAAAACAAAAAACAUUUAAAGAGAUUUAGAUGGUUAAAUAAGCACUUAGGAUCCUAACUUUAUGCUUCAGAUUUUGCAAACCUUGGCCCUGACCUUUUUCACUCCUCUUCCUAAACUAUUAUGUAAUAAGUUUAUUAUUUAACAGUAUAUCUGUGGUGCUGAUCCUCCUGGUCAUGGUUAUAAAGCUAAUCAAAAGUAAUGACCUUUAUGAUGCUGACAGUCUGGAGAGCAGUGCCAAACAUGGUACUGUAAGUGAGAGACCAUCCUGCUUUACAGAUAUAUAGAGAAUUAGAAAAUGUAACACUGAAGACCUAGGCUACCUGGGAACUUCCUGAGCAUUGCUUCAUGUUAAUUACAAUAGUUUAAUACCGUUUUGUUGUACCUUCUUCUUUUCUUAUUGGGUAACCAUUAUGCUCAGUGUUCUAACUGCACCAGCCAGGAAAGAGGAGACCCGCAUUGUCUGUUGCAAGAGAUAGAAUCUUCCUAGUUGGCCUCCUGUCCAGGUAGUACUUUGCCUCCUGUAUCAUGGAAGCAAACAGGAGGCAGAGGCUACAGAAUUUUGCCACGUCCCCAGCAGUUCUGUGCCAGAUUGUUUGCCACCAGCCAGCAGAACAGAACAUCAGCUCAGCUCUCCUGUCGUACCCCUGUAGAGCUUGGCAGUAAUCCAGGCAGUAGUAAGUGGUUCCCUUCAUCUAACUCAAUGGUUUCAAGAAAAGUCUCUAUGGAAGCUCUGCAUCUUUUGGUUCUUGGCGAUUUUGGCAGUAAGGUGACCCCUUCCAUAGAAGGACAUCAAAUCAUGCUUGUGCUUAAAAAGACUUCUGUGAUGUUUUGCAGCAACAACCUAGACAGAUCAGUUGCUCCCAAUGAGCUCUUUCCUCAGUAUUGAAUGUGCUUAUGGGCCCAGCACUGCAAUACGGGAGAAAUAUCCCAAAAGCUACUUUCUUACAAGCUGGCAGUUUUAGUUGGUGUGACUUGGUUAAUUGUUUCUUUGCCUUACAUUGAGUUUUCCCUAGAUGCUGCAGUCUAGCCUACCCUCAGAAUUGGUUCCCUAAAGGGAAUCCAGAGUUCCACCUUUUCUACCAGCAUUUUGCCCAGCACCUUCCACUUCCCUUCUGAGGAAAUUGUAUUCCUCCUUGUCAUGGGCUUGCCUGAGCCAAUGGAGCAUCUCAAACUUACCUUGUCUUGCAGAAGUCCCGUUCAUACUCCGUUUAGGGUGAUCUUCCUGGGCCCGGCAAUCCACAAAGUAAACAAAACGGUUUCAUUGACUGACAAAAGGUGCAGUCAGUCAGGUGCUGACCAAGCCAGGUUUCUCAGGUUAAAAUGAGGAGAUUCUUCUCCUCUCCCAGCUUCACCCAGAACUGGCCCCUGGAAGAAGCAACCGCGGUGUACCAAGCAUUUGCUGCUCCUUGCUGUGCCUUGCAGCUGAUGGUGGGUGGCCUUUCUAGGCAGCUCCUGGAAGACUAAACGCUGUGCUCUUCCCUCCCCACCCCCAAUGACACAUUGGGGUACCCCAAUGUGGUGGGGUCUCCAGCAGGGAGCAGAAAAUGCCUGGUACAUCCUGUGUCUCUCCUCCUGAGCCCAGGAAUUCAGGAAAACAGGCUACUGUUUAUGUACUUCAAAGGCUGCAAUGAGGGCAGGGUAGCGUGGAAGACCUUGCUGGCCAUAAAGAUAAAGGAUUAUAGCCGGGGGGUUUAUAAUUUAGGUUGGUAAAAUUCGUAUGUUGUUUGUCACAUUCCACUCCAGCCCAUAGAGGAGACGAGAUGGGGUAGAGGUGCUGAGGCAUAUGUCUCUUUCAUCUGUGAUGCAGCCCCCUGGUGGGUUUUUCAUACAUUCCUUUAUCUCUGUCACUGGAUUAUCUGCAGUGACAUCUGAGUUCAACCAUUCAGUUGAAUGGAGCUUCAAGCUCCACUGUAGGUAAACCCUCCUUCAGAGUUAUACUGUUUGCUAUGUCCACUGAGCCUAAUGGUGACCCGGUAGGAUAGGAGAAAAUGAGACUGUAUGACCAGGAAAGAAUUACUAAGUUUAGGCUCCUAUUUUUCAAAAUCUUGUCCUAAGAAUAAUACAAUAUAAAUGGCAGUUAAUUGCCUAGCAGGUGGUUUUGUCACCUUGACUUGAAAGUUGAUUAUUUGUUUCUUUUAUUUCUUUACUCCUCAAACAUAUUUCUGAGUAAAAUCUCAUUCCUAGUGUAAACUGAAAUGGAUCUUAGUUAUAACUUUAUUCGGAUCUACACCCAGCUCUAGAGUUUAUCCAAACAUUCCAUCUUGAGCUUGUGGUUUUUAUAUUUCACUUUCCAAAUUUGGAAGAACGAAUUACAAGAUCCUCAGAGUUUUCUUUUAUUGUAUUGCUGUUCACUAGUCAGUAUCUUAAUACUCUCAAACUGUCACAAGCCAGGGAAAUACUUCUAAUUUAAUAUCGGAUAGCAAGAAUCAAGUUUCUAAAUCUGGAAUAUCUCACAAUUUAACAGGGUUUUGAUUAGGUAUAUCAGCUGUCAUUUGCUAUCCAAUAUUAAAAACUAACAAGGUCCCUCUUGUUAAAGUAUCUCACUUUCAUGGUGGUACUUCGCAAUUUGGUAGAAAUACAGGCAUGUAUAGAAGUCAUUACUAUUUGUGUUUAAAAAAUAUUAUGUAGACACACAACCACAGUUGCAGUCUUCUGAUGAUGUACCUUUAGGCAGCCAGACUGCAAAAUUUGGUAUGCCCUUUAAUGUAUAUUACUUUGUGCAUGCAUUUAGCCCUGAUUAUGGCUCCUGUAAGCAGCAGUGAAGUAACAGGCGAAGAGAACCAGUUUCCAGUCCUGCCCCGCACAAAAGACUGGACCAGAUUUUCAGCAGUGCUCAGCACCCAGCAGCUCCCAUUGUCCUGAUGUAAUUUCUCACUGUUCUCAACGUCUCCUUUAGAAUCUGGCCCCAGUUGUGGGUACUGAGCGCUUCUGAAACUCUGUCCCACUAGUUUAACUAAUCUUUGUGAACCAGUUAUUUCAGGCCACAGUGGGCUAAUUUUGCUGCUACUCAGUAGAAAAGUAAACACCCCCCACCUUCUCCCCCUCUCUUCCUUUGAAUUAUUUGAUUGACUUUUUGCCUAGCUCCCCAUCCCCCUGCAUUAGUAAAUGAUAGAUACUGGCCAGAAUGUUCACACUUGCAAGCCUGACGAUAGGCACCUAUGUCCAUAUUUAGGCACCUAAUAUUGAGUGGCUUGGUUUUCAAAGGUGCUGAGUAACUUCAGCUCCUAGUAACGCUAAGGCAGAUGAUGGAUGCCCAGUUGCUGCAAAUCAACCUGUUUACUUAGGUGCCUGAAUAUGGAUUUGGGUGCCAUUUUCAGGUACUCAAGUUGGAAAAUUUUGACCACUAUCUCUAAACCAAAUUUCUCAAGUCUGGUCAGGUGGAAUAGUGAAUUUGCUUUUGGUAGCCAUCUUGAGCUUUGGAUUCUCUGCUGUAGAUCACACACAUGCUAUGGACAAUUGACCUGUCAGAGAGGGUAUGAACUACCUUUCAUCUAGAACAGCCUGGGGUAGUUGGUCCAUAGCCCAGAUGACCAAGACUUUACAAGAGACUGCCCCACAACCCAGGCCAGAGUGUUUUCUUGGUGUGUGAGCCCAUAUCACAAGGGAGAAGGUUUAAAAAUGCCUAAUGAAAAAAUGACUAUUUGCCAUUCCAUGUGAAAUUCAUGGGGCUGGCGUUUGGGCACUGACAUUAGCAUCAUGAACUGCUGUGCCAAUCUCUAAUACCUUGGUUUUCUAUCUUAAUUUGGAAUGACGAAUGAAAGGCGAUCCAUGUACUAAUUGCAAGAUCCUUACGUAACACAUUAAUACUGUAAUGUACAGAACUUCACUGUUCACAGGACGGCCAUCUGGCUUGGGCUCAGCACGAGUUCCCUUAGGUCAAAGUUCUAAGCUGCUGGACUCAGCUGAGGUGUCUCUCGCCACUGCUACUAAGGUCCUUGGCUGCCUCCUGUGCUCCUGUAAUUAAUUCCUUUCUGACGGCAGUCAGUGAAAAACUUUUGGGGGCAGUGACAUUUCUUUGCAAUGUGUCUCUGGAUGGCUUCUGCCUCUCACAAUAUCCUUUGUCCUGGUGUAUAUUUUGACUGCCACUGAGGCACAGACUUGCAAUGGUGUCCAGGUUGAUGUCCCCAGGGUUCAUGCCACCUUCACCUGCUCUCCUUCAAGCAUCUUUUGGAGGUCCCUUUCUGCAACACCUUUAUUCUCCUGUCCUUUCCCUGACAGUCUGCCCUUCUCCCAGGAGCACUGAGGCAGGGCCAAUAGGUUUGGCUGCAGGCAGGGGCUAGGACCAUCCUUUCUGGAAUUCUCCAGCAUUUUCUGCCUCUGCCCCCUAUGCAGACAGAAAACUAUGGGCUCCCCAUCCUGCUUCCUCUUUAUGGACCUUCAUUUAUCUGCCCACAGGCUGUUGCCCUUUGUGGAGUUUUAUGCCAUGUUGCUCCUUAUCCACCAGAGCAUCUCUUAACAUCAGGCUUGGGUAUUGUAACUAUUGCUUGAUGCAUUGAGUUUCUUGCUCAGCACUAGUCCGGAUAUUUUUUUACUCCUUCCCAUGUCUUUCAGGUGGCAAAACAAACCAGUAACUUAAAAUAUUGUUAUGAGUGUGGUCAUACUGUCUCUCUACCAGACAUGCAUGCCUGGUGUCUUUGAGAAAGGAAAUAAACUGGCUGAACUGUCAGAUGUGCUCACAGAUGUAACUAUAAGUUCUCAGUUCCUGAGAAGAGCUCUUCAGAGCCCUAUUCUGAUAAUUCUUCUAACUCCACUACAAAGCUAGCACAAAAAGUCUCAAAAGAGUCCAUGUCAAGAUGCCAUUGCAGGCACUGAGACUGUCAGCGUCUCUCUGGAGGGCACAGAUCUGCCAGGAGAGGUUGUGUAGCUCCCAUUCCACUGCACCAAAGUCUGCAAGUUAAAACUGUGUCCGAUGCCAUUCUGCACCAAGACUUCGGCAUCCUUACUGCCUCAAUGCACCCAACAAGUGAUGCAUGACAGAAUCCUCAUUACGCAAGGUGUUGCUUCAACCGAAGUGUUGAGCUUAGUCUUUGUUGUUUUUUUUUUUUUUUUUAAGGGCUUUGUUUUCUGUAGCUAUGCAGUUUGAUCUGGCCACCUCUCUGACUCUUUGAUUGUCAAGUUAGGUUCUGGUCCCCAGCCCUGCUGUCCUGAGCUUGCAGCCUUCAAGUUGAUUGCACGGAAGGCUUCUCUUAUAAAGUUUCACCUUGUUUGGCUAACAGUUACCAAAGUUUACUCGCAGGAUUGUUCCUUUUUCAAACUGGUGCAUACAGACACAUCACCUUCCACGUGCGCCCUUCAGCAAGUCAUGGAGUUUAACAAGAACCUGAAGCUCCUCUUUCUGAGUGCAGGUUUCCGUAAUGUUGGCCUUCCAGCAUCCAAAUGGCAUCAGGAGUUGGGUUUCUGUGCUUGAUUAUCAUAAUCCUCUCCUUGCUGAGACAAAUCCACACAAGCUCUAGGGAGAGAGGAUGUGUGGAGUUCCCAUGUAGUCAGAUUGCCUAAAGCCUGACUUCUGGAGAGGAUGAAGGGCUUGGGCAUUGGGAAAGGGCACAUUUUUUGGAGAGUGAAUGCUCUUUGGUGGUCUAGCUAAGUUUCUCCCCAAGAACUUAAGAGCCUUAGACAGCAGAAUAGCUAACUCAGUCAUCAUCCGCACUCCAACUCUGGAGCCAGCCUUGCUCAUGUCCUAGACUGAAGAUGCCAAUGCAUUUGGCUGAAAAAUGGCUAAUAGCAAAGGAGGCAUCACAGGAAUUCAUCUGAAGUUGAUUGCAGUCUAGUAAGUCUCUGCCGUCUGUGACAGACAUGAUUUUGUGUUUUACAUAAGCAAGCAGGGAGGAACAAGAUGUUUCUUUAUUCAGAAGCCCUGUAAGUGGAGAAUUGGACAGUGCCCACAAGUCAUUGCUAGCUGCCUUGCAGGAAAGGAAAUAUACUGUUGCCAACAGGUUUGACCAGCUUGUAGGAGUCCCUCUGCUGGAAGUAAUGGAUCAGCCAAUAGGACUGUGGAUCCCUCGAUAAUCUUGCUAUGACAUUUCAGUUGCAUGAGGAAGGGCAUCUAUGCAGCCUUAGUGGGCAGUACUCUUCCUGAUGGUUCCAAGCUCAUAGCACUGCAAAGGUGCUUGCAUCCUAAAAGCAUGGCCCUACAGAGAAAAUGUAUCACACCGGAGUAGUCCCCUUUUCUUAGGGUCAGGAGGGACUCUGUGCAUUUCUUCUCUUGCAGCGUAAUGGAAUAUUCGUUAACUAAGCUGCUGAAAGCUCCCGGUGAGACACUUGAUACCUGUGAGUUCGUUACAAGUAGGUAGGGCACUUUCCCCAGGGGUGGUGACGUUAGCCCAUAGAGUGAGGGAACUUUGAGGCCAUUGUGCCCAAUGCAGUUCUUCAAAGAGCAGGUGAUCUAGCAUUCUAAAUUCCUUGCAGAGCUGGUGACAGUGAUCUGUCUUAGCCAAUCCAUCAGACUGCCAUGGCUUACCCCAGUAAAACCCUUCCCCACAAACUCUGCCAACGCGCUCUAGACUUGAACUAGAGAAUGCUAAAACCAGCUAUUUUUAGUUUACACCCAUUCAGUAUGUACUGGGAAAGAAUUGUGUCUCUGAUUGCAUCUCAUUGCUACAGCCUGGCAGGUCUACUGGUGUUCUGCUGCAGGCCACAAGCUCUGCUCUGUCCCCAUUCAAGAGAUGUGCAAAGCAGCCCCAUGGUGCUUUCGGCACGUUUUCCAUACAACAUUGCUCCCAUUCGGCCUCAGGCCAAAGGGGAUUUUGCUUCUCCUCAAGUUUAUAGAAACGCUGCCUGACAUCACGGGCCCCAAAACACUCUUUUCUGUGACUGUCUCCUUCUGUUUGGGGCAGUAGCUUCUCUCUCCACAUACCAGGAUAAGGUUUGCGUCGCUCUUGCUAUUAAAGGUAUGUUCUGCACACAGCGUAUUGCCAUUUUGGUUGCACUGUCUUUUCUUCUGAGGCAUCUUUGCAGCUUUUGUUAGUCUCUAAGAAUGGGGCUUUGCUUUGCUGGGUCUCUCUGGUAAACCUAAACCUGUAACUGUUGGUCUCUGCAGACCUACACCUCAGCAGAUUACUGCUCCCUAAGGGCUCAACAUUCCCUUGCUUGGCAUUGCUAAUGUAUACGUUUAAAGAAUGUCCAUCUAUUAUGGAGUCAUUUUGCCUCCUGCCCAAAGGGAAUAGAUUACUGGCACAGCCUAAAUUCCUCACUGGGGGGAGGAGGGCCCAAAGCUGUCUCUCGGAUGUCCUACCACAUAGAACAUUGAGCUCAGAGGGCUCCUGGCAUUGCCAUGUGAACAAGCAAAUGCCUACGAGGAGUAAUUUGCUGAGGUGUGUAUUUGCAGAGGAGAGAUUACAGGUAAGUAAUAAUGACGCAUGCUCAGUUCUCCAUUGCAUAAAGGUAAAUUGUCUGAUACUCCCCAUUGUACUGCUUAAAAACAGAGCGGAAAUCUGGAUCAACAGCUUGUCACCCUUCUUGCGACAGCAUCCACUCUUUUCCCAUUCAACUUUCCAAAAUGGUCUCCUGCCGCUCUUCACUAAAAUCACUGUGUUAUGGGUGCUGAGGAAAACGUCCCGGAAAGCACUGCUGUACAUUGGAUUGUAUUUCCACCCACUUGUGGCACGACAAGCCCUGGAAUGGUCUGUUGUGGGUGUGUUAGAGUGAUGGGUAGAGGCCUGGUCACCUCCCAUUACUUAAGCUGGACAGUUGGUCGCACUGUGAUCUCCCUCCAGUUCUCUUCUGUAUCUUUCUGGAGCGUUGUUUUGCAGCACGGGGGAGCCAGUAUGGUUGUUUGAAUGCUGCUGU